GGAUGCUUGUGGGCGGGGCCCACUGAGGCACCACGCAAUGGCUGAGCAAGACCUGUUGCCUAGUAACAGGGUGCAGAGUAAUGAGGCCCAGCAAUGGCUGACUGCCAAGGGCCGUGCUCAUCCUGCUCUGUUACAGUUUGACUGAGCCCAUCCCUGGCCAGUGUGACAAGGGCUAUCAAGAUUUUUGUAACAGAGCACAGCCAUUACUAUGUGUUCCCUUAAUCUGUGUCCUGUUGCCAAGCAACGGUUAUAGGGGAAGGGCCCAUUAGUGGUCCUGCUCAGCGAUUGGUGGGGAGUCCUGCUCACCCACUGCUGCAGUGGGCCCCUCCCACAAGCAACCAACAGCAAAUGAACCACUGACGGUUAGUGGGCGGGGCCGUUCAGCCAACUGUUGGUAGAGUAGUGGUGGUCAGGCAAAGAGUGAGGUAGAGGAGUCACCUCCUGGUAGACAUAACUUCAAAGUGGUUUAGAUCCAUGCCUGGAGGCCAGACUUGUGAGAUCAGCUGUUGUUCCCUAACCUGUGAAGGCGGAACCUGCCUCCUCCAGGCUACACCUUACACUGGGCAGAGACCAGACUCCAAGAUGGAGCAGUUGUGCUGUGGGAGAACGCGAAAAGGGACAAGGGUGUGGUGACCGACCAAACGGGCCUGCAGAGCUGACCCCACCUCCUCCCUUUCCUCCCUCAUAGAGGGUGCCACCACCAACUCUUGCUGCCCACCCUUGCGGAGAUGGUGUGGGGAGGCCCUGGAGCCUGCGUCUCAGGAUGAGGGCGGGCCUGGCUCUCACCUUUGCCUGCAGAGGGCAGCCUGGCAUCAGGGGUCCGCGUUUCUGGAAAAACAGAGACAGAAGAGGGUGGGAUAAGCCGCUUGCAGUCACAUGGCCGAUUGUUAAGGCAGAUCCAGGGAGCGGCGUGCCACUUACCACACAAAUGUCACCGUGGCCUGAGAUGGUCCUGGGAGCGUGGAGGAGGGCAGACCAGACACCCUGUCCUGAGGUCGAGAAGGGUGUCAUGCAGCAGAGUCCUGAUGGCAAGGCGAUCGUGGGCUGGAGAGUGGCCUGCCUCUGAGACCUUCUCUGACCUGUGUCUGCCCCCACAUCUCUCCACACCUGCUCCCAAGUCCUCACUCUGAGCUCCAGUUUCUGCUUUCUUCCGUCUUCUCCUCGGCUUCAGGCUCCUUGUGAGAAGGCGCUGAGUCUUCCUGGAAUGUCCCCAGCACUUAACACAGUGCCUGACAUAUGUAAGUAACAAACAAUGAGUGCUUAUUAAAUGAAGGACGAACCAAAAGGAGCUCCGUUUUCUCCAUCUUUCAAAUAAUAGCAUUGGAUCCAAGGCCC
ensembl:lncRNA